GGGAGAGAGAGCCUGGCUGCCGCGAUGGUUCCGCCGGCAACGGUGGAACCACCUCCGACCGUGCCCCAUCCUUCGGGAUGUAUCACGGCCACAACGUUGCCCGUCCCUCCGGACGCGCAACCCACUAACGUUGGCCAACCCUCCGGGUUGCCCAACGCACGCGAGGAAAGUCCCCCCACCUGUUCGGGCAGGUGACCGGACGCAAGUCCGGAGCGGGAGACCGCUGGCUCUGGAACAGAAACGACACGUCUCGGCCCGACCGAUGACGCGUGCGAACCCGACCGAGAGGAAGGGGAGUUGACCCGCAGAGGGCGUGCGGUCGACGACGCAUGGUUCGAACCCAUGGAUCACGUUCGACGUGAUCGACCGCACACAGACGGCCGAGGAGCGAUGGAACGGCGAAUCCCCACCGGUGCAAGUCCGUGCCGUGGUAGCCCGAACGCCCCGCGGCGUCGCCGCGGACGGCACGGACGCUCAGCCGAAUGCCGGGACGAACAGAAGGGGGCUUACUCCUCUCACCC
rnacentral:RNase_P_RNA from 1 species